GUCUAGGGAGAACUAUAGAAGGAGCUGGGAUUUGAUGUGAACACAGAAAAGGUCUUCAGACAGAGGGGACCUCAUGGGAGGGGCAUGGAGGAGCAGGUCUGGGCAGAGCCUGUGGCAGGCAGUGAGGAUGGGCUGGGGAGAUGGCUGGCCUAGACCCAAAGGGCAUUGACUCCUACCUGGAUCUGAAGGCCAAGGUCCAAGGUUGGGCCAGGGGGGAGUAAAGGAUCUGGGACUCCAAUGGUAUGCAAAUGUCCAAUGUAUAUUUCAUCAGGGUCUCAAUGAGAUCCAGAGCCUUCACUGCUGAUGGAGAUCAUGGGAGACCCAUCAGGGUCUCACUGUCAAUGGUGAUCAAACCAGAGCCAGUCUCAUUUCAGCUGUCUUCACCUCUUUAUCACCCCUAAUUUGAUGCUUAUCUUAGGUGUCUUAUAAUUCCAACUGGAAAUAGUCGGUGUGUUUCCAAAUAUCCAGCAAAAAGUAUUCACAUUUCCCUAAUUGUCUCAUGACUCUUUAAAAAAAAAAAACAGUUGGUUAAGUUGAUUUAGAAUCCAUAUGAAACCCAAACAUUGCCUUUUAAAAUCCCUUUUAAUUCAUAGGUGCCCAUCUCCCUCUCUUCUUUCUCUCUCUCCUUGUCAUUUUUUUUUGUUGUUGUUGUUGAAAAAAACCUGCUCAUUUGUGCUACCAUUCACACAGUCUGGAUCCUGGGGGAUGUGUGUUCGUGGUAUCAUUUAACACUCCGCUCUAUCUAUUUCCUGUAGAUUGGGAGUUUGAACUACAGAUGUCAUCUGAUUCACAUUUGAUUCUUCACACUUUUUUUCUCCUAAGAUUACUUCAGGAGGUUCAUAACAUCUGAUCAUCUCCCUUUGUUGCCAUCAGAGUGAUUUAAGCUGGGAAAAGAAGUGUGGGCAUUCCAGAAAGUUCUGUAUAUGCUGUGGAGUCUAAGAGGAGGCAGGGAGACCUGGAGGCAGGAAGGUGUCUGGUCUGGGACAGCUGCUGCCUCCAGGCUCACUAAUUAGCCUGUGUAAGCUAGGGAUGCUGGUGUGCCUGCCUCUGUAGAAGGCCAUGAGAGAUGUAGGCAUCUCUCUAAGCCAAAGCUUGUGUCCUGGAGGCACUUGUCAGCCACCUGGGUCCAGGAAGUAGCUAAAUGCAGCAAAAUGAAAGAGGCACUCUGCCUUGGAUCCAUUUGCUUUUCUGUAUCUGCCCGAAGCUUUGCUAGGUGAAUUGGGUUUUCAGUAUGUUGGUCCUCCCUAGAAACAUAACAUGCUCAGGGGUUAGGAGGUGGGAUGGAGGUAACUACAGCACAGAGCCCCAACCCUGGCCCUAUGGUUUGGUAUGUGUGUUUUAAAAGAGAAAAACGGUAGCUGUUUUGAAUGGCCAAUGCUAAAAUUGUGAAAAAGCCCCAGAUUUCAAAAUCUGUCCCUCUCCAAAAGGUACAAGGAACUAAAUGUUUGAAAAUGGUUUUAAUUUUCUUUAAGGGCCAAAAAUAUUGCCCUGGUCUCUUGGUCCAUCAUGCUAGUUAGUUUCUGACUGUUUUUGAAAUCCAGCAGGGGAAGAGAGGGAGAGGUGGAUUACACCUCUUUUUGGAAUGAGUAUGCAUAAAAGUAUCCAGUAAUGUAAUUUUUGAAUGUGUAACUAGACUUAUUUUCUAAUAGUCUUGAGUCAUAAGAUUAGACAUUAAUUUUAGAAAGCAUUUUGAGUCCAAGAUGUAAUAAAAUCAUAUUCGAUGCUGUGAAAUAUUUUGAAGUGUGUUUUUAAAAGAAAAUAAUAUAUUUUGGAGAACUAUUAAGGAGCUCAGCUAUUCAAAAUAAACUAUAAAAUGCAAAUAAAAAUG
rnacentral:lncRNA from 1 species